rnacentral:rRNA from 1 species
GUAGGGAAUCUUGCGCAAUGGGCGAAAGCCUGACGCAGCCAUGCCGCGUGAAUGAUGAAGGUCUUAGGAUUGUAAAAUUCUUUCACCGGGGACGAUAAUGACGGUACCCGGAGAAGAAGCCCCGGCUAACUUCGUGCCAGCAGCCGCGGUAAUACGAAGGGGGCUAGCGUUGCUCGGAAUUACUGGGCGUAAAGGGAGCGUAGGCGGAUAGUUUAGUCAGAGGUGAAAGCCCAGGGCUCAAACUUGGAAUUGCCUUUGAUACUGGCUAUCUUGAGUAUGGAAGAGGUAUGUGGAACUCCGAGUGUAGAGGUGAAAUUCGUAGAUAUUCGGAAGAACACCAGUGGCGAAGGCGACUCACUGGCCCAAUACUGACGCUGAGGCGCGAAAGCGUGGGGAGCAAACAGGAUUAGAAACCCCAGUAGUCC